GAGCCCGUAGCUCAGCCGGUAGAGCACUUGACUUUUAAUCAAGGGGUCGUGGGUUCGAGUCCCACCGGGCUCGCCA
rnacentral:tRNA from 1 species